ACAUGCGUGCACCACUUAAUUUUUUUUUUUUUAAAUUGUAGAGAUGAGGUCUCACCACGUUGCCCAGGCUUGUCUCAAACUCCUGACUUCAAGCGAUCCUUCUGCCUUGCCCUCCCAAAGCACUGGGAUUAUAGGCGGGAGCCACUGUGGCUGGCUCUGCAGAUGACUAUUUAGACAAUUCCCUGAUCGCACCCCACAUGAAAUCUUACUAACACAUCUAUCCCAUGUACCUGCUAUGUUCCAUGGUCCUUUCAAGGCUCACAAAUC
rnacentral:lncRNA from 1 species